rnacentral:misc_RNA from 1 species
UAUCCCCGUGGCGUCCUGAGCGAAACGCGUGAUUUCGGCGUGGCAAUCAAAGCGUUAACGCCACAAGCGAUAACAUAGAUACACCGAUAAUCGAUAUACCGAUCGACGACGAGGAAGAAGAAGAAAAUCGCCGUGCUUUUUCGACCACGUCGAGAACGAUGAAAACGAUGAAAAGAUGAGAAAUCGUGACUCGAGCAAUGACAACGAGUGUACAGGUUGGCAAAGCUGUUCGUUUGGAAGGCGAGGCUUCGCCGAGCGGAUACGCGUCCGCGUUUUCUCCGCUUCGGCCGGUUCGUUCGAUUCGGACAAAGGGAAACGACGAUAACUGAUACGAUCGAUCUGAGUUUGAGAAAGCAAACCAAAGACGAGACCCAAGUUUCGUAACGAUUAUUGGCCAAGGGAGCCGCGUUAUUUUAUUCCGCGGAGAUUACGAUCGAUCCGAUAGAUACGAGCGUUACUUCUCUCUUCUUUCUCUUUUGAGAAUAAAUCUUUCGAGGAACGGUUUCUAAACGAUUAAACUGUAAGGUUUAUCGACGAAGAACGAAACUAAGUUUGCACCGAUCAUUGCAUAAAGCUAGUUGAAAGUAUGCAAAGUCUUAUUAAACUUGUUAUAAAAUCAAA